rnacentral:rRNA from 1 species
UGGGGAAUAUUGCACAAUGGGCGCAAGCCUGAUGCAGCAACGCCGCGUGAACGAUGAAGGUCUUCGGAUCGUAAAGUUCUGUUGCAGGGGAAGAUAAUGACGGUACCCUGUGAGGAAGCCCCGGCUAACUACGUGCCAGCAGCCGCGGUAAUACGUAGGGGGCUAGCGUUAUCCGGAUUUACUGGGCGUAAAGGGUGCGUAGGUGGUCUUUCAAGUCGGUGGUUAAAGGCUACGGCUCAACCGUAGUUAGCCUCCGAAACUGGAAGACUUGAGUGCAGGAGAGGAAGGUGGAAUUCCCAGUGUAGCGGUGAAAUGCGUAGAUAUUGGGAGGAACACCAGUAGCGAAGGCGGCUUUCUGGACUGCAACUGACACUGAGGCACGAAAGCGUGGGUAGCAAACAGG